rnacentral:rRNA from 1 species
AGGACGAACGCUGGCGGCGUGCUUAACACAUGCAAGUCGAACGGAAAGGCCCUGCUUUUGUGGGGUGCUCGAGUGGCGAACGGGUGAGUAACACGUGAGUAACCUGCCCUUGACUUUGGGAUAACUUCAGGAAACUGGGGCUAAUACCGGAUAGGAGCUCCUGCUGCAUGGUGGGGGUUGGAAAGUUUCGGCGGUUGGGGAUGGACUCGCGGCUUAUCAGCUUGUUGGUGGGGUAGUGGCUUACCAAGGCUUUGACGGGUAGCCGGCCUGAGAGGGUGACCGGCCACAUUGGGACUGAGAUACGGCCCAGACUCCUACGGGAGGCAGCAGUGGGGAAUAUUGCGCAAUGGGCGAAAGCCUGACGCAGCGACGCCGCGUGGGGGAUGAAUGCCUUCGGGUUGUAAACCCCUUUCAGCAGGGACGAAGCGAAAGUGACGGUACCUGCAGAAGAAGCGCCGGCUAACUACGCGCCAGCAGCCGC